UACGGAGGAUCCAAGCGUUAUCCGGAAUCAUUGGGUUUAAAGGGUCCGUAGGUGGACGAUUAAGUCAGAGGUGAAAUCCUGCAGCUCAACUGUAGAAUUGCCUUUGAAACUGGUUGUCUUGAGUCAUUAUGAAGUAGUUAGAAUAUGUAGUGUAGCGGUGAAAUGCAUAGAUAUUACAUAGAAUACCAAUUGCGAAGGCAGAUUACUAAUAAUGUACUGACACUGAUGGACGAAAGCGUGGGGAGCGAACAGG
rnacentral:rRNA from 1 species